rnacentral:rRNA from 1 species
UACGUAGGCAGCGAGCGUUGUUCGGAGUUACUGGGCGUAAAGAGUGCGUAGGCGGUUUUCUAAGUUUGGUGUGAAAUCUCCCGGCUCAACUGGGAGGGUGCGCCGAAGACUGGAAGGCUUGAGUAUGGGAGAGGUAAGCGGAAUUCCUGGUGUAGCGGUGAAAUGCGCAGAUAUCAGGAGGAACACCGACGGCGAAGGCAGCACUCUGGGCCGGUACUGACGCUGAGGAGCGAAAGCAUGGGGAGCGAACAGG